rnacentral:rRNA from 1 species
GUGGGGAAUUUUUCGCAAUGGGGGAAACCCUGACGAAGCAACGCCGCGUGGAGGAUGAAGGCCUUCGGGUCGUAAACUCCUGUCGCUCGGGACGAAUUCAGUUCGAGUGAAUAUCUCGAGCUGUUGACUGUACCGAGAAAGGAAGCUCCGGCCAACUCUGUGCCAGCAGCCGCGGUAAUACAGAGGGAGCGAGCGUUGUUCGGAAUUACUGGGCGUAAAGGGCGCGUAGGUGGUUGUGCAAGUCCCGUGUGAAAUCCCUCGGCUCAACUGAGGAACUGCACGGGAGACUGCACGACUGGAGUUCGGGAGAGGGACGCGGAAUUCCGGGUGUAGCGGUGAAAUGCGUAGAUAUCCGGAGGAACACCGGUGGCGAAGGCGGCGUCCUGGACCGACACUGACACUGAGGCGCGAAAGCUAGGGGAGCAAACGGGAUUAGAAACCCUUGUAGUCC